rnacentral:misc_RNA from 1 species
GCCGCAGUCGCACACACACUCACAACAAAGCUCGAGAGGUGCUUGCCGUCAAGUACCCCAACGGCGCGUUUUCUCCCCCUCACCCUUGGGUUCACUAAUCCAAGCUCGCGUGCACUUCAACGAGUCGCCAUCCCCGGCAGAUCCUCAUGGGGCAAGUCGGCGGUACUGCGACGAGCGGCCGUGGCCUCACGGCGCUGCAGGUGGCCGCGGCGUUAAGGGUGACGGCAGCAGCGCGGCUGAAGAAGGCCGAAGCUGCCACUUCGUCCUCGCAGGCGAUGCAUAGUACUCACUGUAGCCUAGCUGAGCAAUCCAAAGCGAUCAAGCCAGAGGACUGCAGCGCGGUGCAGCAGCUCACCGUGCCAUCCACGGACCACAAGGGAAAGCACGUGAAGGUGCGCGUCACCGAGUAUGCCCCGGAGGUGUUCUCCUUUCUUCGCCAGCUGAAGGGCGUGACAGACCCACAGUUCGCAGACGAGUGGUCGUUGCCGGAGAACCGCCUAAAGAUGGAGAUGGGUGAGGGCCGCUCUCAAGCGUUCUUCCUCAAAUCAAAGACCAUGCUGUUCAUGUGCAAGACAAUCUCAGUGGAGGAGGUCCGCGCUUUGCUUCGUGUGCUGCGUGCCUACACGCUACACAUCACCGCCCACCCCAGCAGUCUCCUUAUGCGCUUUUACAUGCUUCUGAAGGUUUCGGUGCGGAACGAGGAGGGGUACAUCUUGUGCUUCAACGACGUCUUCGGCGCCGCCUCCGUGCUGCACGAAAAGUGGGACAUCAAGGGCCGCGUUCCAAAGAAUGGCAAGCACCUCCACUACCCACACCUCAUCCGCAGCGGCUACGAGCCCGAUCCGCAUGUCACGAAAACCCGUAAAAACCCCCACGUUCUUGCCAACCCAGCAAUCGAUGCGUCGCAGCAGCACCCCGGCAGGGAGAGCGCGGUCGUGGUGCGGGGAACCGAGGGCGCGCAAGGACUGCCCACGCUGCACGACAAAGACCUCACGCGGCUCUUUUGGGCGCCACGCACCGCACGUAAGCGGCUUGUGGAGGAACUGCUGCGCGACUAUGACUUUCUCAAAAAUGCGGGCAUGAUGGACUACUCUCUGCUCAUCGGCGUCGCCUACCAGGAUGACAAGACGCGACCGCCAGAGAAGCGGUACGGUAUUGAGAAUACGAAUGUGGCAUCCUCUUCCGGCGUCGCGCCUGUAUCGACGUCGGCCGAGGUGAGGCCCGCCACUCUUGCACAAGACAAUCACCCGUUCGGCACGAGGACGACGCUAACAACGUUUCCAGAGUUUGCCAACGGCGUGCGCAGCUUUGACGAUCAGGAGGUGUACUACAUCGGCGUAAUCGACGUUCUCACCACGUACACGUUGAAGAAAAAGGGUGCCAACUUCUUCAAGUCACUGCUGUGGAAGCAAAAAACGCUCUCCACCAUCCCGCCCGACCGCUACGCGCACCGCAUCACAUCGUUCACCGAGUUGAUCUUCCCGGAUGUGAAGGAGGAGGCGAACGGCGGGUAGUCAUCGCUGCUUUCUUUAUCGGGAUAUGGGGCAACGUGUGGCCGAGCACCAUCAUGGAGGGGGAGCUGCUGCGUGUGCAAUGUGUCGGUGCCCUAAGCCGCCCUCCCUCUUCCCACGCCGACACUGGGGCCGUUUAUUAUUGAUCUGCUGCAUAUGAAGCGUGUUCAUGCUUGCGUGCUGGUGUGCUUGUGCCACACUGUCCUCACUCCGCAGCAGCCCUUCGUUUUAUCUUUAGUUGCCUCUUCGCCGUCUCUUUGUGCCAUUCGUAUGCGUGGUGGAGUCUGAAGCGCUGUCCGUCAAGACCGACCCAGCCUCUCCUCUCUAUCCGCCCUUCUUUCGAAACUAAAAGCCUGCGAGCCUUAUGUGUCGCCCACACUGGCGUCGUCGAUUUCCCACCCCCUCUCCUGCUCUCGUAGUGUUCUACAGCAAGGGGUGCUGCGGCUGCCCCACGUGAGCCGAUUGCUCAAACUCUCAUAG